rnacentral:rRNA from 1 species
GGUUAACCGUAUAGGGGAGCCGCAGGGAAACCGAGUCUUAACUGGGCGUUAAGUUGCAGGGUAUAGACCCGAAACCCGGUGAUCUAGCCAUGGGCAGGUUGAAGGUUGGGUAACACUAACUGGAGGACCGAACCGACUAAUGUUGAAAAAUUAGCGGAUGACUUGUGGCUGGGGGUGAAAGGCCAAUCAAACCGGGAGAUAGCUGGUUCUCCCCGAAAGCUAUUUAGGUAGCGCCUCGUGAACUCAUCUUCGGGGGUAGAGCACUGUUUCGGCUAGGGGGUCAUCCCGACUUACCAACCCGAUGCAAACUACGAAUACCGAAGAAUGUUAUCACGGGAGACACACGGCGGGUGCUAACGUCCGUCGUGAAGAGGGAAACAACCCAGACCGCCAGCUAAGGUCCCAAAGUCAUGGUUAAGUGGGAAACGAUGUGGGAAGGCACAGACAGCCAGGAUGUUGGCUUAGAAGCAGCCAUCAUUUAAAGAAAGCGUAAUAGCUCACUGGUCGAGUCGGCCUGCGCGGAAGAUGUAACGGGGCUAAACCAUGCACCGAAGCUGCGGCAGCGACACUAUGUGUUGUUGGGUAGGGGAGCGUUCUGUAAGCCUGCGAAGGUGACCUGUGAAGGUUGCUGGAGGUAUCAGAAGUGCGAAUGCUGACAUAAGUAACGAUAAAGCGGGUGAAAAGCCCGCUCGCCGGAAGACCAAGGGUUCCUGUCCAACGUUAAUCGGGGCAGGGUGAGUCGACCCCUAAGGCGAGGCCGAAAGGCGUAGUCGAUGGGAAACAGGUUAAUAUUCCUGUACUUGGUGUUACUGCGAAGGGGGGACGGAGAAGGCUAUGUUAGCCGGGCGACGGUUGUCCCGGUUUAAGCAUGUAGGCUGAUUGUCCAGGCAAAUCCGGAUAAUCAAGGCUGAGGUGUGAUGACGAGGCACUACGGUGCUGAAGUAACAAAUGCCCUGCUUCCAGGAAAAGCCUCUAAGCAUCAGGUAACAUUAAAUCGUACCCCAAACCGACACAGGUGGUCAGGUAGAGAAUACCAAGGCGCUUGAGAGAACUCGGGUGAAGGAACUAGGCAAAAUGGUGCCGUAACUUCGGGAGAAGGCACGCUGGUGUGUAGGUGAAGCCCCUGCGGGUGGAGCUGAGACCAGUCGAAGAUACCAGCUGGCUGCAACUGUUUAUUAAAAACACAGCACUGUGCAAACACGAAAGUGGACGUAUACGGUGUGACGCCUGCCCGGUGCCGGAAGGUUAAUUGAUGGGGUUAUCCGUAAGGAGAAGCUCUUGAUCGAAGCCCCGGUAAACGGCGGCCGUAACUAUAACGGUCCUAAGGUAGCGAAAUUCCUUGUCGGGUAAGUUCCGACCUGCACGAAUGGCGUAAUGAUGGCCAGGCGGCUUUCUCUGCGGCCUCCCUGCCUGUAU